rnacentral:tRNA from 1 species
UGUAGUAAAGUAUAAGAUGUACAGGAGCUUUUGAUGUUUCAAGGUAGAGUUUGAUUCUCUAGACUAUAA